GACGUAGGGCGCGAGCGUUGUCCGGAUUUAUUGGGCGUAAAGAGCGCGUAGGCGGUCAGCACAAGUCAGUUGUGAAAUCUCCGGGCUUAACUCGGAAAGGUCAACUGAUACUGUGCGACUAGAGUGCAGAAGGGGCAACUGGAAUUCUCGGUGUAGCGGUGAAAUGCGUAGAUAUCGAGAGGAACACCUGCGGCGAAGGCGGGUUGCUGGGCUGACACUGACGCUGAUGCGCGAAAGCCAGGGGAGCGAACGGG
rnacentral:rRNA from 1 species